rnacentral:rRNA from 1 species
AUGGAUCUCCCGGAUGAGCUGCUCGCUGACAUCCUCCACCGCCUCCCGCCGCGGGGAAUCGCGGCGUGCCGGGCCGUCUGCAAGGGGUGGCGCGAUGCCGUUGAUGCUGCAGGGUUGCUGCUGGCCGUGGCGCCCCUCCUGCCGCGUCCCAUGCGUGGCAUCUUCGUCAACUUCUCCAGCAUCCGCCACGACCGCCCCUACCUCUUCUCCCGCGGGCCGACGGUGAACCCCAGCGUCGCCCUCGACGCCUGCGCGCUCGACUUCAUGCACCACCUGUGCCGCGGCUACCAAAGGGAGACCAUCCUCGACCACCGCAACGGCCUCCUACUCUACAUGAACGGUCUAAAGAUAUACGUGUGCAACCCCGCGACAUGCCGGUGGGCGGAGCUUCCGCCGAUGCCCUCUCGUUGGUCCAGCGCCGCGUACCUCGUCUUUGAUCCCGUCGUGUCUCUGCACUACGACGUGUUCAUCUUCCGAAAUACGGGCAAGGGUAACACCCCACCAUCUACAUACAUGAUACCAGUGUACUCGUCGAAAACCGACCAGUGGGAGGAGUGGCCUUUUAUCCGGGAAGGAGAUGCUACUGCGAUCACCAUGGUGUCGGGUCAACUAGGAGAUCCGAAGCGCCGUGGUGCCGUGUGCUGGCGUGGAGCACUCUACCUUCAUUGUUGCAGCGGUCUUCUCACAAAGCUUUCAUUGGACAAGAAGACUUAUCUAGUCAUCAAAAUCCCAGAAAUAACGAUGAUGCCUACUAGUCAUGGCCUAGGAGCUGCACUGGGAGGCGGCCCAGUGCUCCUCGUCGCGUGGCUCUUCCCCGGCGACCCGGUUCUCAUUGCCGGGAUGGCUCUUGGCCUCAUGUCCAUCCCGCCACUCCUCAGCUCGCACCCGCACCGCCUCGUCCGCACGGUUGCGUCCGCACUGUGCUGCAGAUGCGUGCUGAGAGUGGCACUGUGGUGUCAGGGCGCGGUGCUAUCGGAGCAAGACGGCACACUUUAA